GUAUUCAUUUUAGAUUAAUUUACAGAAGCAAACUGGGAAAUGCUUGCGCUGCUCCUUGCAACAAAUUUGAAUCUCUUAAAAGCUUGUAUAAGCUAUAGAGUAUCCCCGUGGUAGGAAGUCUUUAAUACUCACUGAAGGAAGGAAGAAGUUUGACUCUUGAAAUGGCGCCAUACUUUUAGCCUUAUAACAUAUAAUACCUUCAAGUAAAGUAAAAGUAACCCCAAGUAAAGAAGAAUUCAAAGUUCACUCUUACGGGACCAGUUACUUGGGUUGAAACAAUUCACUCUGAUUUUUUAGACUCUGUGGAGAAGAGACACGAGUGACGGUGGGCAUUAGAGGUCUGGACGUCCAUGCCCUUCCCAUCUACCCAUCUGCCUGUGUUCUCUUGGGAGCUGGCUAGGGCCCACGGGCAGAGAGGGGGGCAACAGAAAAGAAAGCCGGUACCAGGCCCUGGUGCCAGCAUUUGCUCGGAAAGUUAAUCAACCUCCCUGUGCCUUAGUUUCCUGAUCUGUAAAAUGGGGACUAUACUAGUAUCUCCCUCACAGAGUUGUUAUGAAGAUGAAUGGGAAACACUCAUGUAAAGUACCCAGCAACUGGCACAUAAUAAAUUCAACGAAGGUUAGAUGUUAGUGGCAGUGCUGCCUAAGGCUACGGUAAUUGAAGUGGAAGCCACUUUCUAGUCUUCCUGCUCCUUUUUGUAAUUGUUCAGUUGUUCAGCCAUGUCUGACUCUUUGCAACCCCAUGGACGGCAGCAAGCCAGGCUUCCCUGUCCCCCACCGUCUCCUGGAGUUUGCUCUAACUCUUGUCCACUGAGUAGAGUGAUGCUGUCCAAGCAACUCAUCCUCUGUCACCUCCUUCUCCUCCUGCCCUCAAUCUUUCCCAGCAUCAGGGUCUGUUCCAGUGAGUCGGCUCUUCACAUCAGAUCGAACAUCAAGUGACUCCUGAAGAGCUACAGCACUUAAAUGCACUCUUUCAGGAGUAUGAGAAGAGAGGAAGACAGCUGCUGGAUAUGGAAACUUUCAAGUGCAUAAUGAAGCAGAGCACGAGGUCACGGAAGAAAGUAAAUGGGUUUUAUAAAUGUUGGAUCAUUGAAACCACAGUUAAAACUUCAACUGUAGGAACCAAUUAGGCCUGAUGAUCUAUCUGCACAAUCGCUCUCAGCUCUGAACUGUGAUUUCUGCUGAGAUCCAGCCGGCUUACUGAACAGUUUAUAUGGGAAAAUAUUUCUAAAUUACUUGGUACACUAGGCCAACAAAACACGUAGAGACUUUUCUGGAAAAGGAGAAAAAGGCUCUUAUUAGAUCACUGGUUCUUUGUGUAUGUGUGCUCAGUAGCUUCGGUCAUUUGACCCCUUGUGACCCUAUGGACUGUAGCCCGCCACGCUCCUCUGUCAAUGGGAUUUUCUAGGCAAGAAUACUGGAGCGGGUUGCCAUUUCCUCCUCCAGGGGAUCUUCCCAAGCCAGGGAUCAAACUUGAGUCUCCUGCAUGUCUUGCAUUGGUAGGCGGAUUCUUUACCAAUGAGCCAUCAGGGAUAUGGGUUGUUCCCAAAGAGUUUGGGCAUUUUUCCCACCCCUAAACUGCUGGAAUUAGGAUUUUAAAUAUUCUCUCUGCCAUCUUAGUUGCCUGGUUUUUGGCCCAGAGUAUGAAAUCUUAUUGAAUAUUUUAGUCUGUUCAGGCUAUAAAAAUGCCAUGAAAAGAGUGGCUUAUAAAUGACAAGCCUUUAUUUCUCACAGUUCUGGAGGCUGGAACAAGGUCAAGGUGCCCAAAGUCUCUGGUGAGGGUCCUCCUUCAGGUUGCAGACUUCUCAUUGGAUCCUCCCAGGGAAGAAGGGGCAAGGGAGCUCUCUGGGGUCUCUUGCAUAAGAUGACAAAUGCUAUUCUUGAGGGCUCCAUGUUCAUGCCCCAAGUAUUAACCUCCCAAAGGUCCCACCUCCUAAUACCAUCUCUCUGGGCAUUAGGGUUUCAACAUGUGAACUGGAUUGGGACACAAACAUUCAAGCCAUAGCAAUGACUAGGCUAUGUUCAUAAGAUAAAAUACAGGCUAUAUCAAGAGAUGCUGUUUAUACUCUACUUUCUAAAGUUUCAUUGCAUCUUAAACUGUAAAAAAAAAAAAAAAUUCAAGAUAAAGUUCUACAGUCUUGUCCCUGGAGUUUGGACAAAACCCCACCAUUGUCAAACUGCAAGUGGAUGAGGUCCCCAACGCCUCUUCUGUGUUACAAAGUGUCCAGUUUUCAUGGCUAUAGUAGAAGUUUAAGUGUGCUUAGAGUUUCAUCCACUGUGAAGUGAUCAUUAAAUAGCACCUACCUUUUAAAAAAUACUCCAUAUGCAUAAUGUUAAACAAAAAACCUUCUUCUGGGUAGAGAGAGGAGUGUUUUUAAUAGAUUUUUAUCAGGUACUUUAGAUAUUAACACACUGUAAAUGAACUAUACUUCAAUAAUAUAAAUUUGAAAAUAAACAUAUAAAUUAUCAGGUGUUUUAACAAUAUCCCAGAUCUUUUUAACCAAAGCAGUCUGAUUAGCUACAUUUUUAGCAUGCCUGCCAGCCUAGUCAGUCAUCUCAUUCUUUCUCCUCUGAUUCAUUCGCUCACUCAGUCACUCAUUCUUUCAAUAAAUAUUUACCUGUGGCACACAGAGUCAGCCAAGACGUGGUCUCUGUCCUUAGGCAGGUCAGAGCUGACCUAGAAUUCAGUCUGGGUGCUGUGGGAACAUCUAAAGCAGAGCAGGAAGCCAGGAAGUUCUCCUGGAGGAGAUGAACCCUGGGCUGUUUUCAGGGGCCCGAUGUGAAGGGUGAGUAUUUCUGAUAUGGGUGGCAUCGAGGAAUGGUGGUCUCACACCAAGCUCUGCGGUUGCCUUGGGGAGCAGAGAAGGUGAUGUUCUAUUUUCCUAUUUCUGUAUCUUCCCAUGUGCUGUUUCCUUAUCUAGAAUGCUUCCCUCCCAUUUUUUGCCAGAGUAAUAAUCCUCUCUGUUUUCUGAUUUUUCUUUAUAUUCCCAGAAUUCAGGACCAUGCCUGGCAUGUACAGGUGCCCAAAUAAAUGCUACAGAAUGAGUGAAUGACUUUAAGGCAAUGUAGUCAUCGUGGACUCAGUUGAGUAUGUCUUAGCAGAAGGAGAAGGGGAUAACAGAGGAUGAGAUGGUUGGAUGGCAUCACUGACUCAAUGGACAUGAGUUUGAGCAAACUCUGGGAGAUAGUGAAGGACAGGGAAGCCUAGAGUGCUGCAGCUCAUGGGGUCACAAAGAGUUGGACAUGACUGAGCGCCUGAACAACAGCAAUUUUCCUAGAAGUAGCUGCUGCUUCUUUUAAGCUGAUAGUGGUCUGCAGUUUCCUGUAACACAGAAGUUAUCUUUUGCACUACAUUGCUGACUCACCAUAACCCCAGUAGGCAGCAAAUGCCAUGAGGGCAAUAAGGCAUCUUUCAGCUCCGAAGCUACAACAUCCAGCACAAAGCCUGGCACACCACUGGUGCUCAACAAGUGAGCAAUGUGAGGCGGCAGUGGUCCAGUGUCCCUCACAUAGUCAUGCUGAGAAGGCAGUCCCCCGGGCAGGGGCAGAGGCUGUUCCUGUAAACACAGGCUUCCCAACUCUGCUCUGGCUGAUGGAAGAAGCUGGGUGUCUCUGGGCAGAGUUACAAUGCUGCAAGGCCAAGGGGUGGUCAUGUGACGGCCGGUGCACUGCCUGAGGGCCCACUCCCACCGUGGCCCUUGCCUGCUGGUGGCCAGGCAGACCCAUGCCUCUUCCAGACUCUGUUUUGUGGCGACAGGGGAGAACCAGGUGGGCAGCCUGAGCCCAGGCAGUGAUUGCCCUCCUCUUGAGCUUUUUUGUUUUCACUUCCCUCUCUGGUCCUAGUCUCUCAGGAAGCCACCCCUCCGGGUGUUUUGGUUUGUUUUCAUUCUAAAAGUAUUUGUUACAAACUAUGUGCAUAGUAUCACCUUGUUGCCAUGGUAAUGUCUGCACUGUAAGCCACACCCAGGAGUGCAGAGCAUGUCUCCUUGGGAGCAUGACUUAGAAGGAACUGGGCUGACCUUAGUCCACAGCCAGGGUGUCUCCUCAUGACCCCUACGCUGACACUGGGUAUUGACUCACCAUGGGGUGAUGCCCUGGUGUCUUGGAGAUCAGGCAUCAUCUCUUUUUCUCCAUUUCAGCUUCAUUACUGUGCAAAGGCAAACACCCCUGAGACUUGUAAGAGAAAAGCCAACAUCUCACUCCCCAAAAUAGACAUAAAACCUGACCAUCUCUAGCGAAGCUGCAAUUAUGGAAUCCUGGGUUUUGAGAGGACUUGAAAGGUCACUUAUAUAUUACCUCUUCAGUGGACAAAUUCUCUUUUCUGUGAGCCAGGAGCCUGCAUCUGCUCGAAUACCUUAAGUUAAAGGCAACUUCAGCUAACGGUAGCCCAUUUCCCAUUUCAAGGUUGGAGAGCUCUGACCUUAAUUUUUUCCCUUUAUGAACUGCAAUUGGUCUGUCUUGACUUUCUACCCAUUAGCCCACUUUCUAAUCUUUUGAACCACUCUAUAAGAAUACACAGAAGAACUGUACAAAAAAGAUCUUCGCGACCAAAUAAUCAUGAUUGUGUGAUCACUCACCUAGAGCCAGACAUCCUGGAAUGUGAAGUCCAGUGGGCCUUAGAAAGCAUCACUACGAACAAAGCUAGUGGAGGUGAUGGGAUUCCAGUUGAGCUGUGCUGCACUCAAUAUGCCAGCAAAUUUGGAAAACUCAGCAGUGGCCACAGGACAGGAAAAGGUCAGUUUUCAUUCCAGUCCCAAAGAAAGGCAAUGCCAAAGAAUGUUCAAACACAGCUGCUCUCAUCUCACACGCCUGUAAAGUAAUGCUCAAAAUUCUCCAAGCCAGGCUUUAGCAACAUGUGAACUGUGAACUUCCAGACAUUCAAGCUGGUUUUAGAAAAGGCAGAGGAACCAGAGAUCAAAUUGGCAACAUCUGAUGGAUCAUGGAAAAAGCAAGAGAGUUCCAGAAAAACAUCUAUUUCUGUUUUAUUGACUAUGCCAAAGCCUUUGACUGUGUGGAUCACAAUAAACUGUGGAAAAUUCUGAAAGAGAUGGGAAUAUCAGACUACCUGACCUGACUCUUGAGAAACCUGUAUGCAGGUCAGGAGGCAACAGUUAGAACUGGACAUGGAACAACAGACUGGUUCCAAAUAGGAAAAGGAGUACGUCAAGGCUGUAUAUUGUCACCCUGCUUAUUUAACUUCUAUGCAGAGUACAUCAUGAGAAACGCUGGGCUGGAGGAAGCACAAGCUGGAAUCAAGAUCGCUGGGAGAAAUAUCAAUAACCUGAGAUAUGCAGAUGACACCACCCUUGUGGCAGAAAGUGAAGAACUAAAAAGCCUCUUGAUGAAAGAGGAGAGUGAAAAAGUUGGCUUAAAGCUCAACAUUCAGAAAACGAAGAUCAUGGCAUCUGGUCCCAUCACUUCAUGGGAAAUAGAUGGGGAAACAGUGGAAACAGUGUCAGACUUUAUUUUUGGGGGGCUCUAAAAUCACUGCAGAUGGUGAUUGCAGUCAUGAAAUUAAAAGACGCUUACUCCUUGGAAGGAAAGUUAUGACCAACCUAGAUAGCAUAUUGAAAAACAGAUGUUACUUUGCCAACAAAGGUCUGUCUAGUCAAGGCUAUGGUUUUUCCAGUGGUCAUGUAUGGAUGUGAGAGCUGGACUGUGAAGAAAGCUGAGUGCCGAAGAAUUGAUGCUUUCGAACUGUGGUGUUGGAGAAGACUCUUGAGAGUCCCUUGGACUGCAAGGAGAUCCAACCAGUCCAUUCUAAAGGAGAUCAGUCCUAGGUGUUCAUUGGAAGGACUGAUGUUACAGCUGAAGCUCCAAUACUUUGGCCACCUCAUGUGAAGAGCUGACUCAUUGGAAAAGACUCUGAUGCUGGGAGGGAUUGGGGGCAGGAGGAGAAGGGGACGACAGAGGAUGAGAUGGCUGGAUGGCAUCACUGACUCGAUGGAUGUAAGUCUGAGUGAACUCUGGGAGUUGGUGAUGGACAGGGAGGCCUGGCGUGCUGUGAUUCUUGGGGUUGCAAAGAGUCGGACACGACUGAGCAACUGAACUGAACUGAACUGGUGAGUUAUCCAUUCCUAGCUACUCACUAGCUUAAAGCUACAUAUUAUUUCACAGUUUUUGUAAGUUAGGCAUCCAGUUGUGGCUUAGCUGGACUCUGUUUCAAGGUGUCUCAUGGGGCUGCAUCGAGGUAUUUAUAUGCUAGGGUCUCAUCUGAAGGCUUGACUAGGGAACAGUGCACUUCCAAGGACACAUGAUUGUUGUCAGGAUUCAGUUUCUUGCUGGUUGUUGGACUAAAGCCUCAGUUCCUUGAUGGCUGUUUGUCCAUUUCCAUGUAAGCAUCUCUACAUGGCAGCUCACAGCAUGGCCACUGGCUUCCUCAAAGCCAGCAAGGGAGAGAGAGCCUACCAGCAAGACAGAAGUUAUGAUCUCAUAUAACCAUAGAGGUGACAUCCCCUUGGGGUUGACGUACUCAACUAGCUACCAGCAGUUUCUCAAGGAGUCGGGGUUGGUAUUCAUCAGCCGUGAACACCAAACGGCAGGGAUCACGGGGUCCAUCUGCCUGGACUGCCACACAGAAGAAAUUUACUUUCUUUCCCACAGAAUCAUCCUUCCAAUACUUGAAAGUAACUUUCACAUCUUUCAUCUUGGCUAUAGUCAAGUGAGUAUCCUUACUAUCCCAGCCAUUGUCCUCAGAACUUGCUAUGUGGCUUGCAGUGUCAAAGUGGAGCCCCUAAACAGAGUUCACCUCCCAGGGUGGAGUGGGAUCUCCUGGGAACAUGAGCCCUGGGAGACCCGCAGCUCCUUCUGCUAAUUAAGGC
ensembl:lncRNA